rnacentral:rRNA from 1 species
AUUGAACGCUGGCGGCAUGCUUUACACAUGCAAGUCGAACGGCAGCACAGCAGAGGUAACUCUGUGGGUGGCGAGUGGCGAACGGGUGAGUAAUACAUCGGAACGUACCCUGUUGUGGGGGAUAACUACGCGAAAGCGUAGCUAAUACCGCAUACGCCCUGAGGGGGAAAGCGGGGGACCCUAAAUAGAGCGCACUGGGGAGUGCGUUGUAUUUAGGGCCUCGCGCAAUAGGAGCGGCCGAUGUCGGAUUAGCUAGUUGGUGAGGUAAAGGCUUACCAAGGCGACGAUCCGUAGCUGGUCUGAGAGGAUGAUCAGCCACACUGGGACUGAGACACGGCCCAGACUCCUACGGGAGGCAGCAGUGGGGAAUUUUGGACAAUGGGGGCAACCCUGAUCCAGCCAUGCCGCGUGAGUGAAGAAGGCCUC